rnacentral:rRNA from 1 species
CCGGCGAUUUCCGAAUGGGGAAACCCAGUGUGAUUCGUCACACUAUCAUUAACUGAAUCCAUAGGUUAAUGAGGCGAACCGGGGGAACUGAAACAUCUAAGUACCCCGAGGAAAAGAAAUCAACCGAGAUUCCCCCAGUAGCGGCGAGCGAACGGGGAGGAGCCCAGAGCCUGAAUCAGUGUGUGUGUUAGUGGAAGCGUCUGGAAAGGCGCGCGAUACAGGGUGACAGCCCCGUACACAAAAAUGCACAUGCUGUGAGCUCGAUGAGUAGGGCGGGACACGUGGUAUCCUGUCUGAAUAUGGGGGGACCAUCCUCCAAGGCUAAAUACUCCUGACUGACCGAUAGUGAACCAGUACCGUGAGGGAAAGGCGAAAAGAACCCCGGCGAGGGGAGUGAAAAAGAACCUGAAACCGUGUACGUACAAGCAGUGGGAGCCUCUUAAUGGGGUGACUGCGUACCUUUUGUAUAAUGGGUCAGCGACUUAUAUUCUGUAGCAAGGUUAACCGAAUAGGGGAGCCGAAGGGAAACCGAGUCUUAACUGGGCGUUAAGUUGCAGGGUAUAGACCCGAAACCCGGUGAUCUAGCCAUGGGCAGGUUGAAGGUUGGGUAACACUAACUGGAGGACCGAACCGACUAAUGUUGAAAAAUUAGCGGAUGACUUGUGGCUGGGGGUGAAAGGCCAAUCAAACCGGGAGAUAGCUGGUUCUCCCCGAAAGCUAUUUAGGUAGCGCCUCGUGAAUUCAUCUCCGGGGGUAGAGCACUGUUUCGGCAAGGGGGUCAUCCCGACUUACCAACCCGAUGCAAACUGCGAAUACCGGAGAAUGUUAUCACGGGAGACACACGGCGGGUGCUAACGUCCGUCGUGAAGAGGGAAACAACCCAGACCGCCAGCUAAGGUCCCAAAGUCAUGGUUAAGUGGGAAACGAUGUGGGAAGGCCCAGACAGCCAGGAUGUUGGCUUAGAAGCAGCCAUCAUUUAAAGAAAGCGUAAUAGCUCACUGGUCGAGUCGGCCUGCGCGGAAGAUGUAACGGGGCUAAACCAUGCACCGAAGCUGCGGCAGCGACGCUUAUGCGUUGUUGGGUAGGGGAGCGUUCUGUAAGCCUGUGAAGGUGGCCUGUGAGGGUUGCUGGAGGUAUCAGAAGUGCGAAUGCUGACAUAAGUAACGAUAAAGCGGGUGAAAAGCCCGCUCGCCGGAAGACCAAGGGUUCCUGUCCAACGUUAAUCGGGGCAGGGUGAGUCGACCCCUAAGGCGAGGCCGAAAGGCGUAGUCGAUGGGAAACAGGUUAAUAUUCCUGUACUUGGUGUUACUGCGAAGGGGGGACGGAGAAGGCUAUGUUGGCCGGGCGACGGUUGUCCCGGUUUAAGCGUGUAGGCUGGUUUUCCAGGCAAAUCCGGAAAACCAAGGCUGAGGCGUGAUGACGAGGCACUACGGUGCUGAAGUGACAAAUGCCCUGCUUCCAGGAAAAGCCUCUAAGCAUCAGGUAACAUCAAAUCGUACCCCAAACCGACACAGGUGGUCAGGUAGAGAAUACCAAGGCGCUUGAGAGAACUCGGGUGAAGGAACUAGGCAAAAUGGUGCCGUAACUUCGGGAGAAGGCACGCUGAUAUGUAGGUGAAGCGACUUGCUCGUGGAGCUGAAAUCAGUCGAAGAUACCAGCUGGCUGCAACUGUUUAUUAAAAACACAGCACUGUGCAAACACGAAAGUGGACGUAUACGGUGUGACGCCUGCCCGGUGCCGGAAGGUUAAUUGAUGGGGUUAGCGGUAACGCGAAGCUCUUGAUCGAAGCCCCGGUAAACGGCGGCCGUAACUAUAACGGUCCUAAGGUAGCGAAAUUCCUUGUCGGGUAAGUUCCGACCUGCACGAAUGGCGUAAUGAUGGCCAGGCUGUCUCCACCCGAGACUCAGUGAAAUUGAACUCGCUGUGAAGAUGCAGUGUACCCGCGGCAAGACGGAAAGACCCCGUGAACCUUUACUAUAGCUUGACACUGAACAUUGAGCCUUGAUGUGUAGGAUAGGUGGGAGGCUUUGAAGUGUGGACGCCAGUCUGCAUGGAGCCGACCUUGAAAUACCACCCUUUAAUGUUUGAUGUUCUAACGUUGGCCCCUAAUCGGGGUUGCGGACAGUGUCUGGUGGGUAGUUUGACUGGGGCGGUCUCCUCCUAAAGAGUAACGGAGGAGCACGAAGGUUGGCUAAUCCUGGUCGGACAUCAGGAGGUUAGUGCAAUGGCAUAAGCCAGCUUGACUGCGAGCGUGACGGCGCGAGCAGGUGCGAAAGCAGGUCAUAGUGAUCCGGUGGUUCUGAAUGGAAGGGCCAUCGCUCAACGGAUAAAAGGUACUCCGGGGAUAACAGGCUGAUACCGCCCAAGAGUUCAUAUCGACGGCGGUGUUUGGCACCUCGAUGUCGGCUCAUCACAUCCUGGGGCUGAAGUAGGUCCCAAGGGUAUGGCUGUUCGCCAUUUAAAGUGGUACGCGAGCUGGGUUUAGAACGUCGUGAGACAGUUCGGUCCCUAUCUGCCGUGGGCGCUGGAGAACUGAGGGGGGCUGCUCCUAGUACGAGAGGACCGGAGUGGACGCAUCACUGGUGUUCGGGUUGUCAUGCCAAUGGCACUGCCCGGUAGCUAAAUGCGGAAGAGAUAAGUGCUGAAAGCAUCUAAGCACGAAACUUGCCCCGAGAUGAGUUCUCCCUGAGACUUAGAGUCUCCUGAAGGAACGUUGAAGACGACGACGUUGAUAGGCCGGGUGUGUAAGCGCAGCGAUGCGUUGAGCUAACCGGUACUAAUGAACCGUGAGGCUUAACCUUACAACGCCGAAG